AGGGAGACAGAGAGAGAGAGAGAGCAGAGAGAUGAGAGGAGAUGGCAAAGUCAAGCGGAAGCAGAAGUCCUAUGAGAAUAAUACAUUGUAAUUAAACUUAAAUAACAAUUACAAAACAAAUAAUAAAACAAAAAACAAAAGAAAACAAAAAAAACCAUACAAAAAAUACAGCGCGAG